CUCUCCUCUAGGUCAGAGUUCAAACAAAAACUAUUACACAGAGAACCCAACAUUCAACUUGCAAUUUCUGGACCUCAAUCCAGCCUUCAGAACAUUGUCACAUCAUUUCCUGUAACUUCACUAACUUCAUGGGAUUUCCUGCAUCCCAGAGUUCAAGGCCUGAGAAUAAGGAUCGUGUGACUUAGUCUCAAACUGAGAAAACUUCAUCCAAUCAGUCCCAUUCAUAUGAAAUAAGAAGAUCAACUCUGACUCCCAAGUCUGUGAUCUAGAUGUUUAAGAAAAAAAACCUAUUAAUCAUGGAAGUCAACAAAAUUCAGUCAAACAGAUCAUUCUGGAAUUUUAAACUAAACUUCUAUUAGAUGCUUGGA